AUGUAUAUUAUCUUAGUAGCUAUUCGCAGCAGUUGUGAAAAUUAAUUUAUUCGGAAAGAGCAAUGUAAUUGUUGUGUUUGGAAAAAGUUAUAAUAAAUUGAGUCCGACAACGCGUUGGUGAAUAGUUUUAAUGGAGUUCAUGGCCCGUGCCGUGCCUCACCUCAAAAGAAGGCCCGCGCCCAUCUCCAAGGGCAAAGCCGGAAACAAACAAAAACCAACGCUCGACGCUUGAGGGCGCCACAGCAAAUGGCAAAUAAAUAAAAGCAACAACGGCCAAGGCAACAGUCGACGCUGCAACUGUAAAGUAAAUUUCAAAAUGGCGUGAAAAUCUGAAUCGUACGAAGCGGCGCUUUGGCAAGUGAUAAAAUGUUUUAUGUGCUCGAGUGUCUGAUAACAAUAAAUAACACCAUCAGCGAAACCCGACGGACAGGAGACCAGGCGGCCGGGCAACCAUACGAUCAUUGGACCACCGGGGACAUGUAAACAAAUUGGCGUUGAAGGCCCGUUGACGGGUCGCCAUUGUCGGGGGGGCCAUGCCCGAGGCAUUGAUUCUGCGUGGCAUCAACUGAAACUUGUGGCAAGUUGUUUGUUUAGGCUUCAGCUGAUAACCCCGCACCGCUUAUCCGGCUGAACCCUAGCCCCAUUGUUUUUCUUACGCUCAAUUUAGCUUGGGCCUAUUUGCAUUUUAAUGAUGAAUUGUAAUCAACAUCAAUUUGCGGCCUUCGCUCUGCCUAUUAAUCAUCACGCCCAUUGUGUGCUGUCCUUUCUUUAAUACACAAGACUAGCUGACUAAAUCUACGCUCCCGCCCAAUAACCUUGGAAAAGUGCUUGGAUUGGAGCUAAUUUGUUUAUAACUCUUAACAUAUAUUGAAGCGCAACAGCUUAAGCCGAUUAAUUCCAGUAUUUUCUAAUAUAUUAACCCAGGAACAGCCUCAGACCGGAACUUGGCCAUGUUAACUAAAACUUGUACCAUUCUCCCAGGCGUGCACGGAGAACGGAUUAAAAAUUGAAAGAUCUCUUGAAACUGAAUAUAAUAAUAAUAAUAAUUACAAACAUUCAAAGAGAUGUCAAGUAAAUAGUCUGAUUCCAUAAAGGAAUAUACCUUUUAUGCAAAUU